UGCAUCUGCCUCCCUAGUGCUGGGAUUAA
rnacentral:piRNA from 1 species